rnacentral:rRNA from 1 species
AACGAACGCUGGCGGCAUGCCUAACACAUGCAAGUCGAACGAGACCUUCGGGCUUAGUGGCGCACGGGUGCGUAACGGGUGGGAACACGCCUUUAGGAUCUGAACAUCUCCCCGAAAGAGGUCCUAAUACCGGAUAAUGUUUUCGGACCAAAGCUUUAUCGCCUUUGGAUGGGCUCGCGUUGUAUUAGCUUGUUGGUAGGGUAAAAGACUGCCAAGGCGACGACGGGUAGCCGGCCUGAGAGGGUGACCGGCCACACUGGGACUGAGAAAAGGCCCAGACUCCUACGGGAGGGAGGAGUGGGGUAGAUUACAUAAUGGGAGGAAGACAGAUGCAGCGACGCCGCGUGAGGGAUGACGGCAGGCGGGUUGGAUCCCUCUUUCAGUAGGGAAGAAGCGAAAGUGACGGUACCUGCAGAAGAAGCACCGGCUAACUACGUG